rnacentral:rRNA from 1 species
ACGGAAGGCAGCAGUAGGGAAUCUUCGGCAAUGGGGGCAACCCUGACCGUGCAACGCCGCGUGAGUGAAGAAGGUUUUCGGAUCGUAAAGCUCUGUUGUAAGAGAAGAACGUGUGUGAGAGUGGAAAGUUCACACAGUGACGGUAACUUACCAGAAAGGGACGGCUAACUACGUGCCAGUAGCCGCGGUAAUACGUAGGUCCCGAGCGUUGCCCGGAUUUAUUGGGCGUGAAGCGAGCGCAGGCGGUUUAAUAAGUCUGAAGUUAAAGGCAGUGGCUUAACCAUUGUUCGCUUUGGAAACUGUUAGACUUGAGUGCAGAAGGGGAGAGUGGAAUUCCAUGUGUAGCGGUGAAAUGCGUAGAUAUAUGGAGGAACACCGGUGGCGAAAGCGGCUCUCUGGUCUGUAACUGACGCUGAGGCUCGAAAGCGUGGGGAGCAAACAGGAUUAGAUACCCUGGUA